rnacentral:rRNA from 1 species
AUGAACCCCCGGGUGGUGAAAACCGAGGCGGCCGACGAGCGCCUCACGCUGCCGGCGACUGGCGCCGGCGGCGGCGGACCGCGCGCCCCGGUUCAGUUCAUAGAGCUCAGCAGCAGCGACUCCGACUCUGACGGCGGCGUCAGCGGCAGCGCAAAGAGGUCCCACAGCGCGGCAGGGGACAGCGCCGCGGGGAAGCGGGCUAGGGUUUCCGCGGGGCCCGUGGUCGGCGUGGACGUGCCACCAGGCUUCCUCGAUCCGCUACCGGCGCCUCCACAGCCGUCGAGGGGCACGACGAAGCAGUUCUGGAAGGCCGGGGACUACGACGGGAAUCCGGCUGGGGGUGCGGAGCCGCCGCCAUCUGCAUCUGGAUUGGAACAUGUCCGCGUACAUCCUAAAUUUUUGCACUCAAAUGCAACAAGCCACAAGUGGGCUCUAGGGGCUUUGGCUGAGCUUCUGGACAACUCACUCGAUGAAGUUAGAAAUGGAGCUACGUUUGUGAACAUUGACAUGUUGGAGAAUAGUAAAGACAAAACAAGAAUGCUCCUUGUUGAAGAUAAUGGUGGUGGAAUGGACCCAGAUAAAAUGCGUCAGUGCAUGUCCUUGGGUUAUUCGGCCAAGAGCCAAGUUGCAAAUACCAUUGGACAAUAUGGAAAUGGUUUCAAGACAAGUACAAUGAGACUUGGUGCUGAUGUUCUGGUCUUUUCCCGUAGCCGUGGAAAAGAAGGCAAAAGGCCUACACAAAGCAUUGGCAUGCUAUCUUAUACCUUUUUGAGGAGCACUGGUAAAGAGGAUAUUGUUGUUCCAAUGAUUGAUUAUGAAAAAAAUGGACUGAAUUGGACAAGAAAGCUGCGGAGUACAUUUGCUGAUUGGAAUACAAGCCUACAGACUAUCAUUACAUGGUCGCCUUAUGGAACUGAAGCAGAACUACUUGAACAGUUUAGUUCUAUAAAGGAACAGGGGACUCGAGUUAUCAUUUACAAUCUUUGGGAAGAUGACCAAGGAGAUUUGGAACUCGACUUUGAUGCUGAUGUAAAUGAUAUUCAACUCAGAGGUGGUAACCGUGAUGAGAAAAAUAUCGAGAUGGCUAAGCGGUUUCCUAACUCCAAGCAUUUCCUUACAUAUAGGCAUUCAUUGAGGAGUUAUGCAUCUAUUUUGUAUCUCCGACUUUCGGAUGCUUUCCAAAUUUUUUUACGUGGAAAAGAGAUUGAGCACCAUAAUAUUGUGACUGACAUGAUGCUGAAGAAAGAGGUUACAUACAGGCCGGUUGCAACUAAUGGACUUCCAAAAGAUUCAAAUAUGGUAGCUGAUGUGACGAUUGGCUUUGUUAAGGAUGCAAAAUUCCAUAUUGACGUCCAAGGAUUUAAUGUAUAUCACAGGAACCGUCUGAUAAAGCCUUUCUGGAGAGUGUGGACUGCUGCGGGAAGUGGUGGGCGUGGUGUUAUAGGUGUACUUGAGGCUAACUUCAUAGAGCCAGCUCAUGAUAAGCAGGACUUUGAGCGCACAACUCUUCUAGCAAGACUUGAAGCACGAUUAAUUCAAAUGCAGAAGGAUUACUGGUCAGGAAAUGCUCAUCGGAUUGGUUAUGUUGGAGCUCGCUCUUUCAGAAGUCCUGAAACAGGAAGAGAAAACUCUCCUGAAGGUUCCCCAGGAGCACAACCAUCACCAGGUCAUUCUGGGAAAGAUUAUCCAAAACAGCGCAGCGCUGGUAAAUCAUAUUCUGCCUCCAGUAAAAAGAGCGGGAAAACAAGCACACCGUUUAGUUGUCAACAGGCUGAGAAGUCUGCCAGGACUAAGCGAUCUGCGGGAUCAAUACUGCAUGGAUUACCAGACACAAGUGAUGACAGUGAUUCUGAGUUUGUGAACACACCGUCAUUAAGUUCAAAAUCUCAUAUCCUGAAUGCACAUAGAAAAUAUUUCCAGAAUGAGAAUACUAGUUUGGCAACACCCGCGUCCAAUGGAACAACAGAAAAAGAAAGAAGCAUAACCAAAUCCCAGUUGGCGGAACCAAAUGCAAGAAGUAACGUUGAUGGACAUUCCAUUGAUGAUCAUGAACCUGUAAUCAAGCAAUUGAGGGAUGAAAAUGCAUCAUUAAAGGAAAGGUUAUUGAUUGUGGAAGAGGCAACGUCACAAGAGCUGGUUAUGGAGCGGGACAAGGUCAAGUCUUUGACAGAGAGGCUGGAGGAUCUGCAGAGACAACUUGAUACUGCAAACAAGGAACAAGAAGCACUGAUCGACAUCUUUUCAGAAGAAAGAAGUCGGCGAGACGAAGAAGAGGAAAAUCUAAGACAGAAGCUAAAGCAUGCUUGGUCUUUGAUUGGCAGGAAGCAUCGAACACCAUACAAGAGUUGCUGCUGGAGAAAUCAAACGCUGGCAGGAAAAGUCAAAAGGUGUGAGAAACUCACCAUGUUGCUACCGCCUCACUAA